rnacentral:rRNA from 1 species
GAGUUUGAUCCUGGCUCAGGAUGAACGCUGGCGGUAUGCUUAACACAUGCAAGUCGAACGGAAUCUUUAGGGAUUUAGUGGCGGACGGGUGAGUAACGCGUAAGAAUCUACCUUCAGGUUGGGGACAACCACUGGAAACGGUGGCUAAUACCGAAUGUGCCGAGAGGUGAAAGGCUUGCUGCCUGAAGAAGAGCUUGCGUCUGAUUAGCUAGUUGGUGUGGUAAAGGCGCACCAAGGCGACGAUCAGUAGCUGGUCUGAGAGGAUGAUCAGCCACACUGGGACUGAGACACGGCCCAGACUCCUACGGGAGGCAGCAGUGGGGAAUUUUCCGCAAUGGGCGAAAGCCUGACGGAGCAAUACCGCGUGAGGGAGGAAGGCUCUUGGGUUGUAAACCUCUUUUCUCAGGGAAGAAAAAAAUGACGGUACCUGAGGAAUAAGCAUCGGCUAACUCCGUGCCAGCAGCCGCGGUAAUACGGAGGAUGCAAGCGUUAUCCGGAAUGAUUGGGCGUAAAGGGUCCGCAGGUGGCAUUGUUUGUCUGCUGUUAAAGAGUUUGGCUCA